UGACUGACACAGGCAGCACCCUUUUGCAGAAGUAGAUGUGCGUUGCUGAGAAAUUUUCUGCCUAAGUUCUGGUUUUCUUUGCAGCACCCAGCAUUUGUUUCUAACACAGGGAAAGAGUGAGCUGGAGAAACCUCUCAAAUUCAAGAAAGCGUAAAGCAAAUUGAACAAUACGGGUGAGGGAAGAAAAGAGUUUCUGAAUAUUUGGAAGAUUUUGCCGAAGUAAGUAAAUGCAGUUGCAUGUAGUUGAAGAGCAUCAGAUAAGACAAAACUGAGCCUUGUUGCAGAAGAAAAUCUUGCUCAGUGGCACUGGAGCUGCUGCCACGUCUUCACUGACUUAUCCCUAGUUUUUAGAAGCUGCUGUUAACUUCCUUUGAUGGUCUUUGGUCAGUAGCUAAGCCUAUAAUAUGAGCCUUUAGCUGCUUGGGAAUUUCAGUCUUAUUUUGCUAUCUUCAUCCUUUUACAACUUGUAAAAUCUAUGCAAUUGAGUGUUGGGGAAAAGAAGCCCUCUGCACACCAGAAUUACCCAGAGACAUGGAACACUUAGCACUGCAUCAUAUGUUGGCCUUACAGAGGUCCUCCGUAUUCCAAUGUGAGGAAGGAAGUGGUGGUACAUUUGCAGAAGGCACUAAAUUAAGCGACUCUAAUGAACCAGAAACAGGAUGAACAAGACCAGGAGGAGGUUUUCCUCUGUUUCACAGGAGCACGGACUAUUCUCUCAUGUUGAAUGUGGCACUUUUUACAUACAAGCAGGAGAGCAACUACACCAAGAUUUUGGAAAACAUGUUAUGUAAGGUUUUAUUUUUAAAAUCAGGAGAGAAUUUCUGCAACAUCCUAUGACCACAGAUCCCUACCCAUCUGCAUUGGGGCACUUACAGAUCACCUUCUCUUCUGAACUUUGUAUGAAGUGACCAUGUCCCUCCUAUCCCUUUCCAUGUGCACAAGAUCAUGUCAUCUCUAGCUUAUUCAAAGACAUUGCCUUAGCAAUCUGCCCUUGCCUUCUGUUUCAUCAGUUUCUAAGCAACAACUAGAAAGGCCAAAGCCUUACAGGACCAGUCUGGCCAAGGCAUAGCUACAGCAUCUUUCUCAUCUGUCUAGCAGACAGUUUCUAUUAGAUCAUUCCCACAAGUACAUACAAGCAGACUUACAUUUCUCACCUCACACUUUAUAAAAAACAAACAACUCCCCAGGCACCCACUUCUCCUCUCCAGGUACAGCCCCUUUGUUAUCCUUUCCUCUACAACUAAACUUCUUAAGAGAAAUUUCUAUACUAGCUGUUUCCUAGUUCUUCCUCAUUUUCUCUUGUGACUUCACUCCAGUCAAUCCAAGAUAACCAUUGACCUUUCUGGUGUCAAAUCUAACAUUUAUUUUUCAGGCCAUAUCUUAUUUCAUCUUUCCACAACAUCUGAUACAGUUGAUUCCUCUACUUCACCUUCUUCACUUUGCUUGAAGGACACCACAGAAAUAGAACAUGGCCAGACUCAGAAGUGCCCCUGGGACCCUCUUCCAAUUACCAUCAUUUUCCUUCUCUUUAAUUGUGACCUCUAUGAUGGGGAUAUGAUAAAGAAGAAAAGUACCUCACAGCGAUGAUUGGCAUGUGAUCACUUAGCCAAUGAGAUAAGAGGCUGUAGAAACGAUGUGAUAAUGACAUCUCCUGAGUUGCAGGUCCAUAUUAGAAGUGGAUAUGAAGUAAACAUUGAGCUUUCCUCACAUUUAAUUAACAAGCUUUAUUAUAGAUACAGCUCAAAUUAGUUAAUUCAGGAAGCUUAUUUUGUAGAAAUUAAAACAUUAAUAAACACAUACAUUUAGAAAUAAAGAACUCGGCUGACCCUUUGACUCUUUGAAACAAGUGGCCUUCCA
rnacentral:lncRNA from 10 species